rnacentral:lncRNA from 1 species
GCCAGGUGCGCCGGGGACUUAGGCAGUGCCGCGCCGCACGGCCCGCGCCGGUUUCCAAGGUGAAGGAGGAGGAGCCUCUGAGGGAAAGUUUCCACAGAAACUUGAGCUGGGCGCAGUGUAGCACUCGCGCCCUUGGGGGCUAGCGUUUGGCCGGAGCUACACACUCUUUACUCACGCACGCACACCGCCGUACACAGCACAAUCGUUCACCGUCCCGCCAAAGGCUCGUCUCUCGGGUUCUGCCUAGUGGAAGGAGUCGGACAACGCCGCACGUCACGGGCGUUUCGGAUUUCUUGCUUCCCAAAGGUUUGACGGCGGCCACCGGCGCCCCGGCCCAGCUCUGCUUUCCUUUGCUGACUCCUUCCUUUAGCUGUCUACCACCACUGCUGCGCUUGUGGAUGACUGCAGGAACACCGGGUACUUGCCACAAGUAUCUCUCCAGAUUCAUCAGCCUUUCACCUGUGACAAGCUCAGUCAAGAAGUGGCUCCUAAGUAAAAGCUGGGGAAGAACAAGGAAGAUAGAGCUCAGAGUAGAAAGCUGUGAAGUUCUGCACAACAGGUCCCCUUGGCCUGCUCUAACAGUUGGAAGGUGGGGGAAGCAUUCAUUUACUCAACAAAUAUAUACUGAGUGCCUUUUGCAUGCUAGGCACGCUUCUAGGGGUUGAGGACACAGCAGAGAGCACAAACAACAAUUCCAGCCCUCGUGGAGCUUACCUCUUCCACGUGGGAAAGACAGAUGGUAAAUGUAUAAGGACAAUAUAUGGACUGCUGUAUGAUUAGAAAUGCUAUGGAGAGGCUAGGAGUGCUGUCUCAUGCCUGUAAUCCCGCAGUUUGGGAGGCCAAAGGAGGAGGAUCACUUGAGGCCAGAAGUUGGAGACCCAACCUGGGCAACAUAGUAAGACCCCCUAUCUACAAAAAGUUUAAAAAUUAGCCAGGCAUGGUGGCGUGCACCUGUAGUCCUAGCUAUCCAGGAGGCUGAGGUGGGAGGAUCACUUGAGCCCACUGCAUUCCAGCCUGGGUGACAGAGUGAGACCCUGUUUUGAAAGAAAGAAAGAAAUGCUGUGGAUAAAAAUUAAGCAGAGAGGGUACAUAGAAAGUAUGAGGGGUGCUAUGUUCGGAGAGGGGUGAUGAUCAAGGAAAGCUUCUGGAGGAGGUAACAUUUGAGGAACGACUUGAGGGAGGUUAGGGAUAUCUGAGCAGACAACUUCCCAGGCAGAAAGCAUAGCAAAUGUAAAGGCCCUGAGGCAGGAGUAUGCCUAAGUGUACUAGGAGCAAUCCAGAAGGCACCAUGAAAGAAUGGAGAAGAUGAAGUCAAAGAAGUGAAAGGUGGGGGUGAUGCAGAUCAGGUAAGGCUUUUACUCUGAGUGAGUUGGUUGGAGCCAUUGGAGGAUUUUGUGUAGAAAAGUGACACUUUCUGACAUUGUAAUUGGAUCACUUUGACUGCUGGGUUAAGAAUAAACAGUAGGGUGUAAGGGUAGAAGCACAGAGACUGGUUAAGAGGCUACUAAAAUAAUCUAGGGUCAGCCGGGUGCGGUGGCUCAUGCCUGUAAUUCCAGCACUUUGGGAGGCCAAGGUGGGUGGGUCACAAGGUCAGGAGAUCAAGACCAUCCUGGCCAACAUGGUGAAACCCCGCCUCUACUAAAAAUACAAAAAAUUAGCCAGGUGUGGUGGCACGCACCUGUAGUCCCAGCUACUCAGGAGGCUAAGGCAGGAGAAUCACUUGAACUCAGGAGGCGGAGGUUGCAGUGAGUAGAGGUUGCAGUGAGCCGAGAUUGCACCACUGCACUCCAGCCUGGGCGACAGAGCGAGACUCCAUCUCACAAAAAGAUAAUAAUAAUAAUUGAGGGACAAGAAGAUAGAGAUGUGGACCAGAGAAAUAGUGGUAGAGAUGAUAAGCUGAUGGUUUCCUCACAUUGGAUGUGGGGUAUAAAGGAAGGAGAUGAGAAGGACUCUGAGGCUUUUGGCCUGGGCAGCAUAAGGAUGGAACUGCUAUAACAAAGUUGGAGAAGACUUCAAAAGGAGGUUAGGGUAAAAUCAAGGCAGGAAGGAGAGGCGCAUAAUUUGAAUGUGGGCAGCGUAAGGACGGAACUGCUAUAACAAAGUUGGAGAAGACUUCAAAAGGAGGUUAGGGUAAAAUCAAGGCAGGAAAGGAGAGGCGCAUAAUUUGAAUGGUCUUCAGUUUCUUCAACUUAUAAAAUGAAAGUAAUACCUACUUUGUUAAGGUUGUUUUAGGAUGACAAAUUAGCAUAGUGAAGUGUAUAACACAAUGCCUAAUACAUGAUAGACACUUAAGAAUGUUAGUUCCCUCUCUACAAAUAUGAAUUUCAUUCAUAUCCAUUAUGCCCUCUGGGAGUGAAACAGACUCAUUCUUUUGAGGAAAUAAGUCUUGCUAAAGGUAAAGGGGCUGUCUCCUUCUCCCAUUCUUGCCAUAUGACACUGUCUGCUCUCUCUUUGUCUUCCACCAUGAAGACAGGCAUGGUAGCUCAUGUGGAAGCUUCCCGAGGCCCUCACCCAGAAGCAGAUGCUGGAGCCAUGCUUGUACAGCUUGCAGAACU